rnacentral:rRNA from 1 species
GAAAGGGAAACGCUUGAAGUCAGUCGCGUCUCUCGGGACUCGGUCGCCACCCCUCGCGGGGAGGGCGGCGUACUUCCCGGGUAUGGACGGGCCAGCGUCGAUUUCGACCGUCGUACAAAGGCGCGAGGAACGUGGCACCUUCGGGUGUGUUAUAGCCUCGCGUUUCCGUAUGCGACGGUGGGGAUCGAGGGUCGCAGCGCGCCUCUAACGGUCGGGGUUCGCCCACGUAACGCGCUUGGGACGCUGGCUUAAUGGCUUCAAGCGACCCGUCUUGAAACACGGACCAAGGAGUCUAACAUGCUCGCGAGUGUUCGGGUGGAAAACCCGCGCGCGUAAUGAAAGUGAAAGGUUGGGACCCCCUUUCUCCAAAGGGGGGCACCGACGCCCGGACUUGAGCUGCUGCGACGGUUCCGAGGCGGAGCGCGUAUGUUGGGACCCGAAAGAUGGUGAACUAUGCCUGAGUAGGGCGAAGCCAGAGGAAACUCUGGUGGAGGCUCGUAGCGAUUCUGACGUGCAAAUCGAUCGUCGAACUUGGGUAUA